rnacentral:rRNA from 1 species
AAUAGAUACCCUGGUAGUCCACGCCGUAAACGAUGAGUGCUAAGUGUUAGAGGGUUUCCGCCCUUUAGUGCUGCAGCAAACGCAUUAAGCACUCCGCCUGGGGAGUACGGCCGCAAGGCUGAAACUCAAAGGAAUUGACGGGGGCCCGCACAAGCGGUGGAGCAUGUGGUUUAAUUCGAAGCAACGCGAAGAACCUUACCAGGUCUUGACAUCCUCUGACACUCCUAGAGAUAGGACGUUCCCCUUCGGGGGACAGAGUGACAGGUGGUGCAUGGUUGUCGUCAGCUCGUGUCGUGAGAUGUUGGGUUAAGUCCCGCAACGAGCGCAACCCUUGAUCUUAGUUGCCAGCAUUAAGUUGGGCACUCUAAGGUGACUGCCGGUGACAAACCGGAGGAAGGUGGGGAUGACGUCAAAUCAUCAUGCCCCUUAUGACCUGGGCUACACACGUGCUACAAUGGAUGGUACAAAGGGCAGCAAAACCGCGAGGUCGAGCAAAUCCCAUAAAACCAUUCUCAGUUCGGA